AAGUGUACAAAAUUUACAAUCCUAACCUGAAAUAGCCAUCAGGCUAGAAAGCCGCACCCGGAUAAGCAGUUUCAGCUUCUACACGUACUUUUGCCAAUGCAUCUGCUCUCUGGCCUCAAAACCACACCCGAAGGAAGGCCAGUUGCUCGCCCCUAACAAGCAACGGCUAGCGCGCGCAUCCGUUUUUCAGCUUUUUUUGGGGUGAACUUACUGCUCCUGGCUUUACCUCAUAGGGGUAGACAGGAAUAUUUAAUGGUUCAAAGUCGAGGUAAACGACUGAUUCUUAGUCAACUCGGUUAGCUUCCUCUGCUUCCGGUGGCGGGACAACCACUGAUGCGGAAAAAACAAAGGCUAGGUAAUGUCUCUCCAACUAGCUCUACCCUGGUCACUGGGUCAAUAAUCGGCCCGGUGGUUCUUCGACUGGCACCGGAAUAGAUUUUGGGCGAGGUGGUGGUGGGAAAGCUGCUGGUACUAGUAUCGAAACCAUAAGGGGCGUUUACGCUGGGACUGAAGCUUUGAUACUCGUGCCUACGCAGCCUUUGUUCGCAUCUCUCAUCGAUUCCCCUAUGGAGAAGAGGAAAAAAAAAGAGCAUUCAUUGGUUGGACCUUUAUGCUACCAGCCUCUGCUAUUGACACUCUUUCUAUACUAUACGAGCUGUAGGAUCAUGAGCAUCACCCACAAAGGCAUACAUAGUUGGCAGUUUCUCACCCGGGUCGAGAUCUGAGGCCGGUGCGGCAACCCAUUGAUCCACCGGAAUAAAAGCGAGCAGCAUUGGGGCUAGCAGCAUUUAAACCAAAAAAGCGAUUCACUUGGUUCCAACAGCAGAUCCAAAUCGGGGAGCAGAGCCAAUCACAGAUGUUGAUCUCGUCCCACCAAUUGAAAAUGGCGUUGAAACUACCCUUGAUGACCCAGAACGACCGGGUUGUAGUUGAACCAUCUCCGGUGAGAGAUUUGGUCCACCGAGUCGAAAAAGAAGCACCUUGCCCAUAUUGAUACCCCAUUUAAGGUAUUCCAGUUGCAUAUCGGUAUCUAUACGCCUCUACUUCGGUUUGAUAGCUUGAAAAGGUUAUUUAAUUGCUUUUCCGGGGGGAAGGAGAAAGCAGUACCAAUUGUGGGAACAUCAGCUUAUGCCGGAACAGCGGUGAAGAAAGCAGCAUCUCCGCCACCAUAUCCAUAUUUAAUCCCCCCGGCCCUCCUGUUUACCUCUUAGCAGGGGUGAAAACUGCACCAUCACUAGCGACAGAGUCAUUACCAACAGCUUCCAAUCAACUAGUUACGGAUCGGUAAGGGUCUGUUAAGAGCUUGUCUUAGCAGAGCCUCGCCUCAGGGUCAUCAACUGAAACUACUGAUGCUUACUCAUAUGCUGGCCGGUCCGGUUAAAUCCAAUUUGAUCUGCCUUAGUCUAUACCUAAAAUAUCUGUUGUGCUCUUCCAAUUGGUUCAAGGUAAGCAGCUGAAGCAACUGCUGGGGGUACCUAUCCAACUGUCUCUGCCGCUGGUGGAACUGGAUAUCGAUCCAACGAGUUCGGACGCGAGCGAAGGGAAGCGUCGUACUAUGGUUCAAUGGGUGAGGAUGCUAGGUUACCAGGUUCUCAAAUCGGGUAUUGAACCGUCUCUCCCUCCUGCUGCAACCUUUGCCUCUAUCUCUACUUCU